ACGCACGCUGGCGGCGUGCCUAAUACAUGCAAGUAGAACGCUGAAGGAGGAGCUUGCUUCUCUGGAUGAGUUGCGAACGGGUGAGUAACGCGUAGGUAACCUGCCUGGUAGUGGGGGAUAACUAUUGGAAACGAUAGCUAAUACCGCAUAAUAGCAGUUGUUGCAUGAUAACUGUUUGAAAGGUGCAAUUGCACCGCUACCAGAUGGACCUGCGUUGUAUUAGCUAGUUGGUGGGGUAACGGCUCACCAAGGCGACGAUACAUAGCCGACCUGAGAGGGUGAUCGGCCACACUGGGACUGAGACACGGCCCAGACUCCUACGGGAGGCAGCAGUAGGGAAUCUUCGGCAAUGGACGGAAGUCUGACCGAGCAACGCCGCGUGAGUGAAGAAGGUUGUCGGAUCGUAAAGCUCUGUUGUAAGAGAAGAACGAGUGUGAGAGUGGAAAGUUCACACUGUGACGGUAUCUUACCAGAAAGGGACGGCUAACUACGUG
rnacentral:rRNA from 1 species